ACUCUGAAGGGGUACCAGGGCACCUUCAACACCAUAAACACUACAGCACCCUCUAGUGGUUAUAGGGCUUGUAGAGUUCAUUUAAAGCAGUUCACACUUAACAUGGAAUUACUAAGAAUACAAAAGGCAAGCAGCCAUGUAUUAACAGAGGUAUUUACUAAACUGGUAAUUGUCGGGAAUUGAACAGUGAACUUCAGAGUUAAAGCCAACAUAGCUG